GUUUACCUGCUGGUGGUGAAGGAGACCAGACUACAGAGGCAGUUUACCUGCUGGUGGUGAAGGAGACCAGACUACAGAGGUACAGAGGGAGUUUACCUGCUGGUGGUGAAGGAGACCAGACUACAGAGGUAAAGAGGGAGUUUACCUGCUGGUGGUGAAGGAGACCAGACUACAGAGGUAAAGAGGGAGUUUACCUGCUGGUGGUGAAGGAGACCAGACUACAGAGGUAAAGAGGGAGUUUACCUGCUGGUGGUGAAGGAGACCAGACUACAGAGGUAAAUAGGGAGUUUAUCUGCUGGUGGUGAAGGAGACCAGACUACAG
ensembl:lncRNA